rnacentral:lncRNA from 1 species
AAGAAUUGAACAAAGAAAGAAGAAAAGCUACUAUUGUGGCCCUAGAUGCCAGAAAGAGGCCGAUAUGCAAGUCAUUUCAAUCCCAAUCAAAGAGGUCCAAAGAGACAAACCCUCGAAUGACAGGUUCAGCUGGGGAUUCACACAGAGAUCGUGGUAAGGCAUAUUCGGGGUCUAAAGCUCAAGAUACUUUAGUGGCAAGUGUGGGUAAUGUGCGGUCUAGAAA